CGCGUAGGCGGCUUUGUAAGUCCGUUGUGAAAUCCCUCGGCUCAACCGAGGAACUGCGACGGAUACUGCUCGGCUUGAGUCCCGGAGAGGGUAGCGGAAUUCCCAGUGUAGCGGUGAAAUGCGUAGAUAUUGGGAGGAACAUCGGUGGCGAAGGCGGCUACCUGGACGGGUACUGACGCUGAUGCGCGAAAGCUAGGGGAGCAAACA
rnacentral:rRNA from 1 species